CCCUACAAAAAACUGAACUGGAAUACGA
rnacentral:sRNA from 1 species